rnacentral:rRNA from 1 species
GUCCUGUAAGUGAAACGAGAAGACCACGAGUUAUGAUCCAGAGUACCACGAGACACGUGAAACCUUGUGGGAAGCAGGGAGGACCACCUCCCAAGGCUAAAUACUACCUGAUGACCGAUAGUGAAGCAGUACCGUGAGGGAAAGGUGAAAAGAACCCCGGGAGGGGAGUGAAAUAGAACCUGAAACCGUGUGCCUACAACCGCUCAGAGCCCCUUAUGAGGGUGAUGAGGUGCUUUUUGUAGAACGAGCCAACGAGUUACGGUAUGUAGCAAGGUUAAGUACUUAAGGUACGGAGCCGAAGGGAAACCGAGUCUGAAUAGGGCGACUAGUUGCAUGCCGUAGACCCGAAACCGGGUGACCUAUCCAUGGCCAGGUUGAAGCGAGGGUAAAACCUCGUGGAGGACCGAACCACGUUGCUGUUGAAAAAGCAUGGGAUGAGCUGUGGAUAGCGGAGAAAUUCCAAUCGAACCCGGAGAUAGCUGGUUCUCUCCGAAAUAGCUUUAGGGCUAGCGUCGAGUAUGAGUAGUGGAGGUAGAGCACUGAAUGGGCUAGGGGGCAUAGCGCUUACCGAACCUUAUCAAACUCCGAAUGCCACAUACUUUGAGCUCGGCAGUCAGACUACGAAUGAUAAGAUCCGUGGUCAAAAGGGAAACAGCCCAGAUCGUCAGCUAAGGUCCCAAAGUGUAAGUUAAGUGGGAAAGGAUGUGAGAUUUCUAAGACAACUAGGAUGUUGGCUUAGAAGCAGCCAUUCAUUAAAAGAGUGCGUAAUAGCUCACUAGUCGAGAGAUCUUGCGCCGAAAAUGUAACGGGGCUAAACUUACCACC